AUUGAACGCUGGCGGCAUGCUUUACACAUGCAAGUCGAACGGCAGCACGGGAGCAAUCCUGNUGGCGAGUGGCGAACGGGUGAGUAAUAUAUCGGAACGUGCCUUAUAGUGGGGGAUAACGCAGCGAAAGUUGCGGUAAUACCGCAUACGCCCUGAGGGGGAAAGCGGGGGAUCGAAAGACCUCGCGCUACUAGAGCGGCCGAUAUCUGAUUAGCUAGUUGGUGAGGUAAAGGCUCACCAAGGCUUCGAUCAGUAGCUGGUCUGAGAGGACGAUCAGCCACACUGGGACUGAGACACGGCCCAGACUCCUACGGGAGGCAGCAGUGGGGAAUUUUGGACAAUGGGGGCAACCCUGAUCCAGCAAUGCCGCGUGAGUGAAGAAGGCCUUCGGGUUGUAAAGCUCUCUUGUCAGGGAAGAAACAGCAGCUCUAACACAGCUGUGAAUGACGGUACCUGAAGAAUAAGCACCGGCUAACUACGUGCC
rnacentral:rRNA from 1 species